GGGACCCCAAAUACCCCCAUGAGACCCCAAAGGGGACCCCAAAAGGGACCCCAAAUGCCCCCAUGGGACCCCAAAAUGACAUCUGGGACCCCAAAUGCCCCCAUGGGACCCCAAAACUGACAUCUGGGACCCCAAAAGGGAACCCAAACAGACCCCAAAUGCCCCCAUGGGACCCCAAAAUCCCACACGGGGACCCAAAAUCCCACACGGGGACCCCAAAAAUGGCGGCGGGGACCCCAAAUGCUCCCAUGAGACCCCAAAAGGGACCCCAAAAGGGACCCCAAAAGGGAUCCCAAAUCCCACACGGGGACCCCAAAAAUGGCAUCUGGACCCCAAAUCGCCCCAUGGGACCCCAAAAGGGACCCCAAAAGGGACCCCAAAGUGACCCCAAAUCCCACACGGGGACCCCAAAAAUGGCAUCUGGGACCCCAAAAAUGACAUCUGGGACCCCAAAAGGGACCCCAAACAGACCCAAAAAUCCCACACGGGGACCCAAAAUCCCACACGGGGACCCCAAAUCCCACACGGGGACCCCAAAUGCCCCCAUGAGACCCCAAAAGGGACCCCAAAAGGGACCCCAAAAGGGACCCCAAAGUGACCCCAAAUCCCACACGGGGACCCCAAAAAUGGCAUCUGGGACCCCAAAUGCCCCCAUGGGACCCCAAAAGGGACCCCAAAAGGGACCCCAAAUAGCCCCAAAAUCCCACACGGGGACCCCAAAAAUGACAUCGGGGACCCCAAAAUUCACAUCUGGGACCCCAAAUGCCCCCAUGGGACCCCAAAAAUGACAUCUGGGACCCCAAAAGUGACACAAAAAGUGACGUCUGGGAUCCCCAAAUCCCCCAUGGGACCCCAAAAAUGACAUCUGGGACCCCAAAAGUGUCAACUGGAACCCCAAAAUCCUCUUGUGGGACCCCAAAAUCCCCCAUAGAUCCCCAAAAAUGACAUCUGGGACCCCAAAAAUCCCCCAUGGGACCCCAAAAUCCCACACGGGGACCCCAAAAUGACAUCUGGGACCCCAAAAUCCCCCAUAGAACCCCAAAAUCCCCUUGUGGGACCCCAAAAAUCCCCUUUGGGACCCCAAAAAUGCCCCAUGGGACCCCAAAAAUCCCUCUUAGAAACCCCACAGGACUCCAAAGAGCCCCAAAAUCCCACACGGGGACCCCAAAAAUGACAUCGGGGACCCCAAAAUUCACACCUGGGACCCCAAAUGCCCCCAUGGGACCCCAAAAAUGACAUCUGGGACCCCAAAAGGACCCCCGAAGUGACUCCAAAUCCCACACGGGGACCCCAAAAAUGACAUCUGGGACCCCAAAAUUCACAUCUCGAACCCCAAAUGCCCCCAUGGGACCCCAAAAAUGACAUCUGGGACCCCAAAAGUGACACAAAAAAUGACAUCUGGGACCCCAAAAGUGACACAAAAAGUGAUGUCUGGGAUCCCCAAAUCCCCCAUGGGACCCCAAAAAUGACAUCUGGGACCCCAAAAAUCCCCCAUGGGACCCCAAAAUCACGUCUGGAACCCCAAAAUCCCCCAUUUCCCCCCCCAAAGCCCCUCUGGAACCCCAAAAUUCCACACGGAGACCCCAAAAAUCACAUCAGGGACCCCAAAAAUCACAUCUUGGGGCCCAAAUGCCUUUAUGGGACCCCAAAAAUGACAUCUGUGACCCCAAAAGUGUCAACUGGAACCCCAAAAUCCUCUUGUGGGACCCCAAAAUCCCCCAUAGAUCCCCAAAAAUGACAUCUGGGACCCCAAAAAUCCCCCAUGGGACCCCAAAAUCCCACACGGAGACCCCAAAAAUCCCCCAUGGGACCCCAAAUGCCCCCAUAGAACCCCAAAAUCCCCUUGUGGGACCCCAAAAAUCCCCUUUGGGACCCCAAAAAUGCCCCAUGGGACCCCAAAAAUCCCUCUUAGAAACCCCACAGGACUCCAAAGAGCCCCAAAAUCCCACAUGGGGACCCCAAAAAUGACAUCUGGGACCCCAAAAUUCACAUCUCGAACCCCAAAUGCCCCCAUGGGACCCCAAAA
ensembl:lncRNA